CGAGUAGCCAAGAGAGAGUGGAGGCACGAAGAAAAAAUCAUUUCACGUUUUCCUUGUUUUCAUCGUGUCUCAGUUCUCUCUCUCUCCCUCGUGAGUUUGCUCCGCCGCGUCGGAGCUGGUCUGAAAUGAACAUCAACCCCCACCAUUUUGUUCGUCUUCUUCCAUUCUAUCAAAUUCUAACCUUCAAUUACUCUAAAACUAACUAUAACCUCUCAAUUCACAAAAUGAUUCCAAGAACCCUAGAAGCUAAAACAUAAAUUAAAUGGCGACGAAUAGGAAUCAAGCCACUCCACCUUGGGGCUUUGAUUCCCCUCGGAGAGAGCUACAUUGUGGUGAAAACUUUGAAGUAAAAGGAUCAAGAUAAGGAAGUGGCCUAUCGGCAAGACUGUGGCUUGUCUCAUAUAUUAUUGAAGGUGACACUGAUGAAGAUGGAGAACAAAGAAAACCAGAGUGUUGAUCAGGACUUGUACACAUGGGAAGGCUUGGCAAGGCCUUUUGGUCAUGGAGAAGCUUAACACACCAUGGCCUAUCAAGAUGGGAGUUUUGGGCAACACCAAGAAUUGUGAAGAAACAUGGAGAAUCACAAAGAUGUGAUGGCUUGUGAAUGAAGAAAAAAUAGGAUAGGUGUUAGGAUGGUUAGUUCACUUUGGUCAUCUGUUGACCAAAAAGUCAAAAGUUGACCAAAAGUCAACUCUAGGCCAUGUAAUUUUGUAUGUAAACUUGAUUUUAGACUUCUUUUGUAAAGAAAUGGAUACUUGAAAUGAAUUGUGACUUGUAUUCCAAGAAAGUACUUUCUCCCUCCAA